CAUCAGUGGUAACAGAGAAACAUUCUCCCUGGCCAGCAACAUGACUGGUAAAAGACAGCACACUGAAUGAAUUGGAUUGAUGAGUGGAUGAUUCCUUGGUGAAAAGCUGGAUGGCUCUAGCUUUCUAACACAGUCAACUUAAUGAGAGAGAAAAGCAAUUAAAAUUGGGAUUAAUGACCUUGGCCUGAUCUAUGUCUGGAGGGAACUGAAUCACAGCAAGCUCUAAAGAAGAGAUGGCAAGCCAGUGGAAUUAAAGAGGAUGUAAUGAAUGCCAAGAAAAAUGAUGAAAAGGAUGGAGGCUGGAAUUCUUCACACUGGAAAAAAAGAAAGGAGAUACAUGAUUGAGGGCAAGAGGAAUGCCCUGGAAGCCUUGGCCAAGUCUGUCUGCUAUUUACUGAAGUAGCACCUCCUCUUCAGCUGCUGAAGGAAAAACACUGUUCUGGGCAAAGCAUUCAUCUCACCAAGAAAGGCAUUCCUUUUGUUACUGUUUUCAGCUACGGUUUUAAGUUAUCCUGAAGUAUAUAUUUAAUCAAUGGAAAGAUGGAGGAAAGAUGCUCCAGCCCUCUGAUCAUCUUCAUGGCAUUUCUCUGGACCUCUCUCAAACAGGUCUGUGUCCUCCCUGUGCUGGGGCCCAGAGCUGGCUGCAGCACCUCAGGCAAGAAGUAUAUAUGUGUCUGCUACUUUUGUCAGCUUGGCUACAACAGAAAUAUUUGGCCAACAGCAUCACGAAGUGCCAAGAAAUAAAAGAUUAAACUGCAUUUUCAAGCACAAUUGGAGAAGAACUUGGUAUAUUGCAGCAAUCUGACCAGUCAGAGUCAACAAACAGCUUCAAAGUGGAAAGUUGUCCUAAGAGGCAAAAUAUUAACUCCAGUCACUGCUGCCCCUUUGCCCAUCACUACUUUGGUUAAGAAGGGUGUAGAGCAGAUACAACACCGAGCAUGAAUAUUGCACAGGACACUUUUU